UACGUAGGGUGCGAGCGUUAAUCGGAAUUACUGGGCGUAAAGCGUGCGCAGGCGGUUUGCUAAGACCGAUGUGAAAUCCCCGGGCUUAACCUGGGAACUGCAUUGGUGACUGGCAGGCUAGAGUAUGGCAGAGGGGGUAGAAUUCCACGUGUAGCAGUGAAAUGCGUAGAGAUGUGGAGGAAUACCGAUGGCGAAGGCAGCCCCCUGGACCAUAACUGACGCUGAGGCACGAAAGCGUGGGUAGCAAACAGG
rnacentral:rRNA from 1 species